rnacentral:rRNA from 1 species
AGUGAACGCUGGCGGUAGGCCUAACACAUGCAAGUCGAACGGCAGCACAGUAAGAGCUUGCUCUUACGGGUGGCGAGUGGCGGACGGUUGAGGGAUACAUCGGAAUCUACGUUUUCUUGCGUGAUAACGUAGGGACACUUACGCCAAUACCGCAUACGACCUACGGGUGAAAGCAGGGGAUCUUCGGACCUCGCGCGAUUGAAUGAGCCGAUGUCGGAUUAGCUAGUUGGAGGGGUAAAGGCCCACCAAGGCGACGAUCCUUAGCUGGUCUGAGAGGAUGAUCAGCACAACUGGACCUGGGCACGGGUCCAGCCCCCUACGGGAGGCAGAAGUGGGAAAUAUUGGCCAAUGGGCGAAAGCUUGUCCCAGCCAUACGGGGUGGGUGAAGAAGGCCUUCGGGUUGUAAAGACCUUUUGUUGGGAAAGAAAAGCGGCAGGUUAAUACCCCGUUGUUCGGCGGGUACCAAAAGAAUAAGCCCCGGUUACCUUCGG